AAGCGUUCACUCAACGCCAUAUAACAAACAUUUAAAACCUUCGCAGAUUCAUGAGCCGAAUCGUAGGAUGCCCAGAAUUUCUGUUUCUGGAACAUCUUGAACCCUCGGCUAAAUCUCA